ensembl:lncRNA CCDC26 CCDC26 long non-coding RNA
ACUGGGCUUAGAGUCACAUAAGAGACAGAGCAAGUAAAAUAUUACGCUACAGUGCUACUGGCCCAUAAUCAGGCAACUGCAGAGUCUUAGGGGGUUAUCUAAUGUAGUCUUGGGGUGGCUGGAUAGACUUCCCAAAGAAGGUGAUGCCGAAGCUGAGGUCGGAAAUUACGAAGAUCAGCUAUGGCGUCUCAGGGUCUUGACCACCUCAAGCCAGGUGAGACACCUUACAGGAUGUCUCCUAAGCUGAUCAGUCUAUGAACAUUUAGUGACCUACAGAAUCUCCCUGUGACAUCUGUUCACUGGGCAACAGCAGCUCACAGCAAACUUGGAAAUCAUGUCUUAGAGAUCAAGGAGCCAAGAGAUGAGACAAGCCUGGGUUCCUAGGUGAUAGGGUGUGGCUGUGUCCCCACCCAAAUCUCGUCUUGAAUUGUAGCUCCCAUAAUCCCCACAUGUUGUGGAGGGACCCUGUGGAAGGAAGGCCUGAGGAGAGAAGACACAUAGUCAUGCUGACUAAACCAGAUCACCUAGAAUUACCAAAUGGAAAGAUUGUGCCUGCAGCCUGGCCUGUUGCCCACAGCGGUCUACCUGCCACACUGGGAAAGAUCGAGCAGAGACAGAGAAGAAAAGGAGGCUCCAUUUUUCAGGCUGCUCUCCCGCAGGCUCAUGUUUUGUGUUCAUGCCAGGCAGAGAACACAAAAUGUUCCAAUAAAUAAGUAUCAAAG